rnacentral:lncRNA from 1 species
AAUCUCUGAGAGCUGUUUUGCCUUUUGGGAGUGGUUUAGAAAACCACUAGAUCUUUUGAAGCUAAAUUAGAAUGGGUUUCCAGAGCUUCUCCUACGUCUGCUUUUUCUUGAAAAUAACCAGUUCAAGAUAAUCCUGUGCCAAAGAGGCGUAUUUUGGAGUGGCAAAUUCUGCUCCACUUCAUGGCUCAACUAGGAGAGCCGUCAGCUUGCUGGAAUGAAACAGGUGCCUCUGAGUGAUAGCACCUCAACGCAAGGUUGACAGAAGGGAAGCCAUAUUGUAGAAGAGAAACCAUAUUCUAACUUUGAAUGACCUCUGAUUAACUAACCUAUCCGGAUAUGCACCCUCCAGGAGAUGUACGUGCUCUGUAGACUUUGUGCCCUUUCCCAGUUGC